AUACGGAGGAUGCGAGCGUUAUCCGGAUUUAUUGGGUUUAAAGGGUGCGUAGGCGGACGAUUAAGUCAGCUGUGAAAUGCCCGCGCUUAACGCGGGAAGUGCAGUUGAUACUGGUUGUCUGGAGUGCCGUUGCCGUGGGGGGAAUGGGUAGUGUAGCGGUGAAAUGCAUAGAUAUUACUCAGAACACCGAUUGCGAAGGCAUCUCACGAAUCCGUCAUUGACGCUGAGGCACGAAAGCGUGGGGAUCAAACAGGAUUAGAUACCCUGGUAGUCCACGCAGUAAACGAUGAUGACUAACCGUCGGCGAUACACAGUCGGUGGCCAAGCGAAAGCGAUAAGUCAUCCACCUGGGGAGUACGUUCGCAAGAAUGAAACUUAAAGGAAUGGACGGGG
rnacentral:rRNA from 1 species